GAUGAAGAACGUAGCGAAAUGCGAUACGUAGUGUGAAUUGCAGAAUUCAGUGAAUCAUCGAAUCUUUGAACGCACAUUGCGCCCUUUGGUAUUCCAAAGGGCAUGCCUGUUCGAGCGUCAUUUGUACCCUCAAGCUUUGCUUGGUGUUGGGCGUCUUGUCUCCAGUCCGCUGGAGACUCGCCUUAAAGUCAUUGGCAGCCGGCCUACUGGUUUCGGAGCGCAGCACAAGUCGCACUCUUUUCCAGCCAAGGUCAGUGUCCAACAAGCCUUUUUUCAUCUUUUGACCUCGGAUCAGGUAGGGAUACCCGCUGAACUUAAGCAUAUCAAUAAGCGGAGGA
rnacentral:misc_RNA from 1 species